rnacentral:tRNA from 2 species
AAGAGAGGUGUGACAACAAUGAGAACUGCUAAUUCUUUUUACCUGGGUUUGACUCCCUGGCUCACUUG